rnacentral:rRNA from 1 species
CCUACGGGAGGCAGCAGUUUCGAAUCGUUCACAAUGGGGGCAACCCUGAUGGCGCGACGCCGCGUGGGGGAUGAAGGUCUUCGGAUUGUAAACUCCUGUCAUUGGGGACUAACGGCCAGGCUCAUACCCUGGUUUGAAUUAACCCAAAGAGGAAGCAGUGGCUAACUCUGUGCCAGCAGCCGCGGUAAUACAGAGACUGCAAGCGUUACUCGGAUUCACUGGGCGUAAAGGGAGCGCAGGCGGAUUAGUGUGUCAGGCGUGAAAUCCCGGGGCUCAACCCCGGUACCGCGCCCGAAACUACUAAUCUAGAGACUUGGAGGGGUAAGCGGAAUUCUUGGUGGAGCAGUGAAAUGCGUAGAUAUCAAGAGGAACACCAACGGCGAAGGCAGCUUACUGGACAAGAUCUGACGCUCAGGCUCGAAAGCGUGGGGAGCAAAAGGGAUUAGAUACCCCUGUAGUCCACGCUGUAAACGGUGCGCAUUAGGUCUUGGAGCUUUCGAACGCUCCAGGGCUCAAGCUAACGCAUUAAAUGCGCCGCCNGAGACGACGCCGCGAGACGAAACUAAAGUAAGAGUAGACGNGNGAGAGAGACGACGACGACGACGAGGAGGAGG